rnacentral:lncRNA from 10 species
GGACACCUAGAGCCUUGGCAGCAGUGCUGUGCGGGAAAUACAUUCUACAGCUUUAUCUGCUCUGAAGAACCGAGUAUAACUUCUAAAUUGUGCAACAGGCUUUGUUGUCUUUGGAGCUGAAGUAAGCGAUCUUUUCAUUAUAUAUUCAGGGACACAAAGAAGGCCGCAAGUCGCUUUUUAGGAAAUGCGAGUACACUACUGGGUUCCUUUAGAGAAAUUAAGAGCAAGGUGAACGAUUGGUCAGCAGGGGUGAUCGUGAUCGGGGCUGUGGCAAGAACCCAGCAGGAGACAGUUGAUUGCGCUCUCCAGCUCUCCGGUGCUCUCCAGGCCUCAGCACAAUCUCCAGCGUUCCAGGCUUUGUCUUUCAGGAGCUGGACAGGGGUCCUCUAUAGAAAAACAACAUUCAGUCCUCCCAAGAGACAGCCUCUUCCCUUUUAGUUUCACGCUCCAAGCAGGCAGAGAGAACCAUAAACUUUUCCUUCCACAAAAGUAAUGAAACACGUGAGUGCGUAUUUAUCAGCUCCAUUUUAUUUUUGUGAAAACCUUGUCUUGUUACAUUUCAUAAAAUUUAGAAGUGCAGGAAGUGUUGGACAUUCUCUUGUUUAUUCCCCGACUUUGAUGUUCGGAAGUCAGAGAUCAAGAUGUGCUUGUCCGCAGGUGGCCAGUUGGCAGAUGGCCCCGGGCCCUGGUCUGCUACCUCCUGGUUAAACUAUCCUCCUACCUGGGGGCUUUGUUCAGCUCUGCUUCAUUUAGUGAAACGCUGACGUUGUAAGCCUGCUGUGGAGUGUGUGUUUAGGCAAAUAGGAGCUGUGCUGUCUGCAGCAGGCCCAAUGCCAUGUGGGUAAAGAAAGGGACCCGGUAUUAGGGAGGGAACUCCUGAAGUCUUUGUGCUCCACCAUCUUUUGAGUGAUUUUUCAGGGAAAGGCUGGGAGUGGUGGGGAGGGACAAACGGGGGACUCUGCUGGUGACUUCAUGCUGUGUGGCCUGGGCUCGGAGUCCUGUCCUGGCAGCUGCAUUCUUUGUGGUGGAGUCUGCCU